GUGGGGGUGGGCGGUCUGAGCCUGUGGCAGCACCAAGUCAGAGCACCUGCUUCGGGUGAGGGGGAUGCCGGGACGCUCGGACAUGCUUCCUCUGCCUACCAUUUCUUUCACGGGCCAGGAAUUCAGAGCGACCGCCCCAGGGUGCUGGGUUGGCUAAGUGUCCCCCUCAGACCAGCAGAGGAGAUGCACCUGGGAACUUGUUAGACAUGCAAAUGUCCUGGGCGAGGGCCCCACCCCGAACUUACUGAAUCAGAAACCUGAGAGUGGGGCCCAGAGAGCUGUGGCUUCAGAAGCUCCCCAGGUGAUCCCGAUGACACUCAAGUGGGAGCCCCACUGCUUUGUUUUGCACUUACUUAGAGCUCGCUUCUGUGUCUCUUCGGUCAGCUGGUCUGGUACUGGUUUAAACUGGACAAACUGCAGACGAUGUUCUUUACCUUGUUGCACAGGUGCACACCAAAAGAUUUAGUAGAAGGCCGGAGACUGGAUGUUGGGCCGUGCAGAGAGGGUUGCGUGCACCUGCGGUGAUUGGUUCAUGGGGUCAAAUGAGUCUCUGGUGAUUGACAGAGUUGAUUAAUGGGUUGGGGAAUCCUGCAGUGGUUGAGACAUCACGUGAUUUUUAACUCGCCCCUCUUACUAGUUUGCAUUUGCCCCUCAUGUCUUAGGAACAUCAAGAAUAAAGUUGGAGUGGGAGAGA